GCUUUGUUUUGCAAUAGCAAAAGCAAUUAGAGCAAAAUAAUCAUGUUUUACCAAAUGAAGCCUAAGUUUUUCAGCAACUGUGAUUUUUACUUCCUGUUAUAAUAUAACUCUUUCUCAGAUGUCUUGCAAUUCACAAAAAACACGUUCUUAGGUGGUUGUGGGCAUCUAGUCAAAUUUGUGCAGGUUCCAUGGUUUUAACAAUAUAUUAUUUGUACCAAGUCAUGUUGAUUAUUAGGGUAGAAACAGAAAUACAACAAGAUUAAAAAGUGGGAACAUGGGAUAUGAUUAAAUAAAUAAGAAUAAUAAUUAAGCAAAGAAAUUUUAUUUUGAAA
rnacentral:misc_RNA from 1 species